UUCAGUUUGAUUUGCCAUAUGAAGGUGGG
rnacentral:piRNA from 1 species